rnacentral:rRNA from 1 species
CAGUCGCCGCGGUAAUACAGAGGGUGCAAGCGUUAAUCGGAAUUACUGGGCGUAAAGCGCGCGUAGGUGGUUUGUUAAGUUGGAUGUGAAAUCCCCGGGCUCAACCUGGGAACUGCAUCCAAAACUGGCAAGCUAGAGUAUGGUAGAGGGUGGUGGAAUUUCCUGUGUAGCGGUGAAAUGCGUAGAUAUAGGAAGGAACACCAGUGGCGAAGGCGACCACCUGGACUGAUACUGACACUGAGGUGCGAAAGCGUGGGGAGCAAACAGGAUUAGAGACCCCCGUAGUCCCUGUCUCUUAUAU